AAUUUCAAUAUUUUUGCCGCGGAGAUCUUACGCUUUUGCUUGCAAGUGACACAAUGAGGCUUACUGAUCCAAGCAGGAAACUAUGCAGAUGAAAUGGUGAAACCUGAUUGGUCUAAUUUCCCGCACACAUGGGAAGAGAUUUUUACAAUGGUUUGUUGUUAACUCGCACGUGCAUGAUCACAUGGUUCACAGAUUGACCUUUGUACCAGACCUUUGUGCUCCAGGGGACUUUGCACAACUUUACUUUUGUCCGAACGCUUGUUUCAUUAACUUAACUUUAUAAUGCUAAGGGCAUGUAUAAACUUGCUUUAAUACGACCUUUGU